rnacentral:snRNA from 1 species
AGAUUUGAGGGUGAUUUGGCUGCAACAUUUGUGACCCUAUUGAUCUCCAGUGUUGACUAAACUGAUCCAGCAAAAUGGGCAAUGUCUCCUUCUUCCUUCACGGUUCCAUGUGAAUCCCUCCCUAAGCUGUAUACUUACUCAAAAAUAACAAUUUUCCCAUAGAAUGGAAGACCACUCUUUGGUCAAAUUUAUGCAAGUAACUACAGACCCCUGCUAAAAGUUCUAAACAAUCCAUCAUUAUAAUAACCACCUAACUCUGAGCUUGACAAAUAGUAUUUGCUCAGAGAAUGUUCAGUGGAUUAAGGCAUUGUCUUCCAUAAAGAGCCAUGGAAUAU